CCUAACGCCCUAUCGCUGUAGGGCGUGACGCACGGCUGAGUAACACGUGGCUAACCUACCCUCGGGACUGGGAUAACUCCGGGAAACUGGAGCUAAACCCGGAUAGGUGAGGAGUCCUGGAAUGGUUCUUCGCCGAAAUAGACCUUGGAGGGUUAUCGUCUAAGGUCUGCCCGAGGAUGGGGCCACGGCCCAUCAUGGUAGUUGGUGGGGUAAUGGCCCACCAAGCCUACGACGGGUAGGGGCCCUGGGAGGGGGAGCCCCCAGAUGGACCCUGAGACAAGGGUCCAGGCCCUACGGGGCGCACCAGGCGCGAAACCUCUGCAAUGCGGGCAACCGUGACAGGGUUACCCCAAGUGCUCCUGUUAAGGGAGCUUUUCCUCGCUGUAAGGGGGCGAGGGAAUAAGCGGGGGGCAAGACUGGUGUCAGCCGCCGCGGUAAUACCAGCCCCGCGAGUGGUCAGGACGAUUACUGGGCCUAAAGCGCCCGUAGCCGGUCUAGCAAGUCCUCUCUGAAAGCUCCGGGCCUAACCCGGAGAGCGGAGAGGAUACUGCUAGGCUAGGGGGCGGGAAAGGCCGGGGGUACUCCUAGGGUAGGGGCGAAAUCCGAUAAUCCUAGGAGGACCACCAGUGGCGAAGGCGCCCGGCUGGAACGCGCCCGACGGUGAGGGGCGAAAGCUGGGG
rnacentral:rRNA from 1 species